rnacentral:lncRNA from 1 species
CAGCUUUCUUACGCUAAGGAAGAUGCUUUGCAAAUCAGUCAAUUGUAUCUUUCGAGGGGGCGGGUUAAUAUUUUUAUUAUUGUUGUUGUUAUUCCAGAUCUGAGGAAAAAAAUCAGCAACCAAGGCGACCAAAAAGACAGAGAGAAAGAGAGAGGACACACUUGGUAGAGAAGUCUGAAUCCCAAACCUCUUGUGUAAAUGACUACAGAAGGAGCAAGGGAGUGGAGAAUCAGACCCCAGGAAGGAACCAGCAGAAAUCUUUAGAGGGAGAGAAGCUCCUUGUGCUUUCCAGAAGAUGGCGCUCAUUCUCCAUUGGAUUGGGGAGCAGCCUGCACCUGAGGCAGAGAAUGGAGCUACUUGAACAAGAUGAAAUGAUACUUUGCUUGAGCCUGAGCUGCUGUCACAGUCUCUCACCCAACGUCAACUCAGCACCUUCUGCUGUUUUCAUCGUAGACAUCAGAUCCCUGCAGGUUCUGAGAUGGGGUGACACUAGAACAGGGAGUGACAAACAAAGUAUCAUGGGACAAGAAGAAAGGGCACGUUACCCCCAGGCAAGUUGGAGAGUUUUUCCGAAUGGGAUUUCACUGGUCUAUAAUAAAUGUUCCAGUCACAGAAUAUCAGGGUUUGGAAGGGACCGCAAGCGGUCAACUGGUCUAACCCCUUCUCAGAGCAGGACCAAUCCCCAGACAGAUUUUUACCCUAGUUCCCUAAAUGCCCCCUUCAAGGAUUGAACUCACAACCCUGGGUUUAGCAGGCCAACGCUCAACCCACUGUAAAAACGAAGAAUCUCAGUGCUUAAAGAAACACUGGACUAAAUAGUGACCAAAGCAAAAAGAGAAAGAAAAAUGUAGCUCUUUGGUACAAAUUAAAAAAAAUAAAUACUGCAUGUAACACA